CUUCAUGAAAGUAAAUAGAUGAGGCUGAUUGCCCCGAAGUCACUUCCUCGUUGACUUGGUUCAGGGCUCAGUUCAGCGCUCCCUGAACUGUCUGAGGAGCUGGAGUUGCUCCCUCCGCAGGCGCGUUUCUGUCUGCAGGUUUAUCCUGUUCAGUAGGUCAGGGUUUGUUACUGACAACCAUGACCUGCUGUGAGCCCUUCUGCGAGUGUGGAGCUGGGGGGCAGGAAGGGCAGCCUUAGCUGUGCCGACGCUUCGUCCUGUCAGGGCAUUUGCACGCCAAAGGCAAAGAAGAAAAAAUGUCCAAAUCAUUAAAGAACUACAUUACUAUUAAGGACUUUCUGAAGACCUUUUCCCCCGAUGUCUUCCGGUUCUUCUGCCUGCGGAGCAGCUACCGCUCAGCCAUCGACUACAGUGACAGCGCCAUGCUCCAAGCUCAGCAGCUGCUCCUGGGGCUGGGCUCUUUCCUGGAGGAUGCACGUGCCUACAUGAAGGGGCAGCUGGCCUGCGGCUCCGUCAGGGAAGCGAUGCUGUGGGAGAGGUAAGAGGCCCGCCUAGCACCCGGCGUGGCACCCCUCCUGUGGCCUGCUGGGUGCUGCUGGUGGGCUCCUGAAGGGGAAGAGGGGCCCCCAGGAGACAGGGCGCUGGACAGGAGGUGUGGGGUCAGGGACUGCCCAGAGAGGCCCCAGGAGACAGGGUGCUGGGCAGGAGGUGCAGGUGUGGGGUCAGGGGCUCCC
rnacentral:sRNA from 1 species